GAUGAACGCUGGCGGCGUGCCUAAUACAUGCAAGUCGAGCGAACGGACGAGAAGCUUGCUUCUCUGAUGUUAGCGGCGGACGGGUGAGUAACACGUGGAUAACCUACCUAUAAGACUGGGAUAACUUCGGGAAACCGGAGCUAAUACCGGAUGAUAUUUUGAACCGCAUGGUUCAAAAGUGAAAGACGGUCUUGCUGUCACUUAUAGAUGGAUCCGCGCUGCAUUAGCUAGUUGGUAAGGUAACGGCUUACCAAGGCAACGAUGCAUAGCCGACCUGAGAGGGUGCUCGGCCACACUGGAACGGAGACCGGGUCCAAACCCCUAGGGGGGGCAGCAGUGGGGAAUCUUCCGCAAUGGGCGAAAGCCUGACGGAGCAACGCCGGGGGGGGGAUGAAGGGCUUGGGUUCGUAAAACUCUGUUAUUGGGGAAAAAAAAAUGUGAAAGUAACUGUGCCCAUUUUGACGGUCCCAAAGCAAAAAGCCCCGGCAAACUACGU
rnacentral:rRNA from 1 species